rnacentral:snoRNA from 22 species
CACCAAAACUCUUUGUCAGGGCGUUUUCUAUUCCACCGAGAAUACAAUUCAUCAACGAAAAGGUCUGUUACAGUUUUGGAAGAUUAAUACCACUCGCCUUCUACUUUUCUCCCGUUCUGGGAGAACUUGGGUAGAAACAGGUGGGUAACCACCGUUUUGGUGGUAUGCCACCGCUUUUAGAGUGAGGAGGAUCUUCAGAGUUAAGCUUUGGAUGGGUACACCCCUUCAAGAUAAUUCCAUUGCUUGUAGUAAUGAACCUCACAUUA